rnacentral:rRNA from 1 species
CAUGAAGUCGGAAUUGCUAGUAAUGGCAGGUCAGCAUACUGCCGUGAAUACGUUCCCGGGCCUUGUACACACCGCCCGUCACACCAUGAGAGUUGGAGAUACCCGAAGCCUAUGAGCUAACUUUUAGAGGCAGUAGUCGAAGGUAGAAUCAAUGAUUGGGGUGAAGUCGUAACAAGGUAGC